UACGAAGGGGGCUAGCGUUGCUCGGAAUCACUGGGCGUAAAGCGCACGUAGGCGGAUUGUUAAGUCAGGGGUGAAAUCCUGGAGCUCAACUCCAGAACUGCCCUUGAUACUGACGGUCUCGAGUCCGGAAGAGGCGAGUGGAACUCCUGGUGUAGCGGUGGAAUGCGCAGAGUAUCAGGAAGAACACCGACGGCGAAGGCAGCUCGCUGGGACGGUACUGGACGCUGAGGCGCGAAAGCGUGGGGAGCGAACAGGA
rnacentral:rRNA from 1 species